UAAGCGUUAACAAUAAUCUUGGAAAUAACAUGGAAUAACAAGAAUUAGUUGUAUCAGCCUUUCAAAAUAUGUUGGGAUAAUUGGUUUAAGAGAUUAUUGUCAAGGGGAAAAUGACACCUUAAUGUAACAUGCACAAAAAAAUCCUUGCCAGUUUAUCUCAGUUUAAUUUUGGCCUUUACUAAUUACCAGCUUUUAAUUCCAACUGUUAACUAACAG
rnacentral:lncRNA from 1 species